ensembl:lncRNA
CCAACCCACUGAAGCUUUAGUUAUCCCCCAACCCACUGAAGCUUUAGUUAUCCCCCAACCCACUGAAGCUUUAGUUAUCCCCCAACCCACUGAAGCUUUAGUUAUCCCCCAACCCACUGAAGCUUUAGUUAUCCCCCAACCCACUGAAGCUUUAGUUAUCCCCCAACCCAAUGAAGCUUUAGUUAUCCCCCCAACCCACUGAAGCUUUAGUUAUCCCCCAACCCACUGAAGCUUUAGUUAUCCCCCAACCCUCUGAAGCUUUUGUAAUCCCCCCCAACCCACUGAACUUUGGACCCGUAAACCUUCUGUUAACCCUGACACCUGAUUUGGGAGUCUACCCUGACCUCCUACUUGUGAGACAGCCCUGACCCGAGUGACCUUCCACCUCCUCAACCUCCUAACCGCCAAUCCAGAGGGCACUGUAUGUCCUCCUGGGAAGUAGACACAGAUGGAGAGAAUAGAGAAUGGAGUCACGAGAAGGGAAGGUGUUGUUCUUCCUAUUGAAUUUGAGUUAUGAUGGGUGAAUUACACUGAACAAAUAUCUUUUUUUUUAUCUGAUUACAGUCCUUAUUGGGAAAUUCCUCACCACCUGAACUUUAACCCCAAUCAACAACUUACUGGUCCUUAACUUGGGACGGAUUUCUCUGUAGUUUUUAUGAUUCACUGCAAUCAUUCCCAACCACUGCUAUGAGAGUGCACAGCAUGCUGUUUGUAACUCAGCUUUUCCCAAAGUGCAUACAUUUCUUUUGACUGAACCACUAAAUGAAGGUUUCCUCUGCAUAACUGACAUAAAACCCCUGCACCUGGAGGGAGGAAUAUGGCAUUGUGAAUAUCCAGAUGCCUGAACACAGAAGAAUAGGCUUUUUGGUAUUGCUCUGUUUAAUGAAGACAAAAAGCCUGACAAGCAUCAAUCACUGACACAGUUAGGUUUUUGUGUUAGUGUUUUGUUGGCAUGUGUUAAUGUGGAAACAUUCCUCCUACCUCCUGCUUGGUGGUGUUGUAUUUAAGUUUUUUGUUUGGCUGUUGUUUUUGCAUUUUUAAGCAUUUCUGUCAAGAGAGGAAGAAUACAUUGUACACAUAAAAUGUACCAAAUGAUUACUAUUGAGCAUCUGCCUUUGUUUCAGCACCUAGGCGGUAUUAGCAGUCAGUCAUGAAACUGCGUCUAUAAUUGUAGUUCUUGUUUUUGGUUAUAACGUGGUAAUGUGACCCUGAAUUAAAGCACAGGGUUUGAACAAGAUAUUGGUACUCGUUAGGUGGAAGAAGGACACAUGUAUGUGAGUUUACGGUACGAUUGUAUGUACUUAUAUCUAAACACACAUGGAUCAUGAAAACAGUGGCUAUUUGAUGGCCAAGGAGAGUUGCCUUUUUAGUAAAGGCCAGACGUCAGUUCACAUUCUGCUGUCAGGGUGCCAAUUUUUUGGAUUUCCAUUGUCAGUUUUAAAUUUUGUCAGUGCCAUUAAUCUGUCUGUUUUUGUUUUUUGUCAGUGCCAUACUCAGAUGUUUUUAUUCUUGUUCGUUGACUUUCCUAACGCUGUCUGGUUGCCUCAUGCCUACAUUCCACUAUAACUGAGUAAUAUUUAAACUGGAGUAAGCAUCUGUAGAGAUCAAGUUGGGUCCUGUCUGCUUAAACAUGUCCAGUGUGAAUAAUAAUUUCCUUUGAAAACAGUUUCAACUACAGCCCCUUCUAAACCAGACAUUUACCUACAUGUUUUUAAAAUGUUACCAACUGUCUUGAAACAUUUCAAUAUUUUGUGGUAAUAGUCAUUUUUGCUAUGAAGGAUGCCUGACAAUUGUGAGCCCACAUUUACAUUGGGGUUGUGCUACAAUCAUGUGAAAAAAUAUGUACACCCCCCUUUUUUGGACACAUUGAUAUUUGAGCUAAAUUCAUUGAGGUAAUCAAAUUUAACAAAUCACACAAAAAUCAACUUCGAAACCAUUUAUGGAAAAAAAUAAAAAUAAAUGCUAUUAACCUAUCUGGAACAAGUUAGUACAUCCCUACUUUUACCAUCACAUAAAAUCACAAAAAUUAGAAUAAUGUGCACCAAAACAGGUGUAAAUGAUUUAAAGAAUCAUAAGAGAGUAAUUUGGGAAGUAUCAAUCUUCCAUGAUGUUGUCUGGUUUAGUCUUUACCAGUGUGUCUGGUAACACAUUCAUGCCAAGAUUUAAAAAAGAAAUCCAAGGUCCUCAGAAGAACAUUAUUGAUGCCUUUAAGUCUGGGAUGGGUUACAAAGCCAUUUACAAGCAAUUCGAAGUACAUUAUUACACUGUCAGAUGGAUAACCUACAAAUUGCGAAAAUGCCAUACCACAGGGAAUCUAGGAUGCCCAAAACCAGACCAAAAGAUGCUAAUAGAAAUCUCUAAACAGAUCUGGAAGGAAGAAGCCUCCAAGCUCAAAAAAUUAUUUUAAUUAAUAACUGACUUGCCAGACAACAAAAACCAAAACAUGGAUCUUGAAACAGGUCAAUGCCCCCUAACUCACAAGCUAAGCUGCAACAGAAGGGCUAGAAAAUAAGAAAUUAAGGGUUAUGGAAUGACUGAGUGAAAGCCCAGAUCUCAAUCCUAUCGAAUGCUAUGGGGAGCUUGAUUUGGACCAUGCAUGCAAAAAUCCAUUGAACAUGACACAAGCAGGACUGCAAUCAAUACUGGGGGAAAAUUCCUCUUAGUCAACUGUAAGAGACCUGAUGGACAGUUACAAGAAACGGCUACAUGCAGUUUAUUUGUCAGUAGCUGUAUAAGAUUCCCAUGUCCAAAUAUGGGGGGGAAAUUAUUGGGGCAGUGAACUUUUUCACAUGACUGUAUUUCAGCUAUUUUUUUUUUUGUGUAGGCAGCUGAAAUUACAUUCUUAUAUUUGUUGUCAGUUCUGAUAAGAACCAUUUAGUUAUUUCUCAUUUUAUAUUGUUAUUUUAGAUGGACUAAUGGAGCAAAAAGAUUGUAAAAUAAUAAGCAACCACUGUCAAGGCCAUCUGUCUUCGCAAUCUGUUUUAGACAAGAGACUUCUAGAAGAAGCUGCUUGAUUUUAGAAUGCAGUGGUGGAGCUUGGCUGAUUUGGGGAAUGAGCUGUAAAUGUAUUGUUCAAUUACUAAGUGGUGAUUACUGUUAGGUAAUUUCUAAUCUACCACGAGAAGUGACAAUGGUACUUGCUACACCGCUGUGCCAAAUCAUUUAACAACAUACACUUAAGAUUAGUAUGAAAAUGUUUAGGUGUACCAUUUAAAAUGGCCUGAAAUUAGUGAUUAGAACAAUGGCCUGAAAUGAGUGGUUAGAACAAUGGCCUGAAAUGAGUGGUUAGAACAAUGGGCUGGUGAAGAGAGAAUUGAAUAAAGUGCACUGCAAUUGCACUGAGUAAUUAAUGUUACUUAAGUUACUGAGGAAAAUAUUCCACUGUAUAAAUGCAAAUUGUUCAAAAGACCUCUGCAAGUGGAGAAAUCUUUAGUUUCAGCAAACAAUGUUCAUUUUGGAUUAUUACUAUAAGUGAAAAAGAUAUGGCAAUAUUUAAGAAAUGGCAAUAUUUGUCUUUCAACUAUUCCUUUAUAAAAUGUUAUUUAGCACUUUUGCAUAUAAAUAGGCCUUGGUUCAGCUUUUCAACUAACUGCAAAUUUCAAAAUAGUGGUCAACUCUACAUUUCAUAGCAGGUUUUAACAUAAUACAUAUGUUUCCAAUAGAUAUUAAAUUCAGUAAAUGAUUUAGGAACAUAACUGUACAACUUUCUGUUGGGGACCAAAAAGCCAAACUGACAUUAAUGUUAAUUGUUCUCCAGCAGUUGGAAAACAGGAAGGUAUAACUGAAAUAUUGAACUUUUGUGUACAUUUUGACAUUUUGAGUGUAAAAAAUGAACACCAUAUUCUUAACCUGUAAGUGGACUUAUGCUGAGCUUAUCUCAAACACUGUAUGGGGUUGUAAAACAUAAAACUUUAUUAUGUACUUGGACCGUUCAGAAACAGACAGUCAAAGAUAAGUGUUAUUUAUUUUUUCCUUAAGAGAAAAUAUUUUCAAGAAGCUGUAUAUAAGUCUGUUUGUUUUGCCCAAUUUUUCCUUGUAUGGAGUCCUUUAUGUUUUUGGCAUUAUAUGGGUCGUUAAAAUAAAUCUUGUCAAAGGGAUGCAUUGAUAAUAAAAACAUAAAUCAACCACUCAUCUCUAUGUCAGUGCAUGUAGCUGUGUAAAUAUAUAAAUAUCUUAUUUUGGUGUAGAGUUGAUGGAUUGUCCAAAACCAUUAUUCAUCCUAAACCAGGUAGGGGUUCAUUAAAACCUGGAAUAUUUAUGAAGUUUCUUAAUGGUUUUCUUAGGUUAUAUUUUUUACAGUAUAUCAUGUGACCAUAAACUUGAAAUUCUGAACUGCAGAAGUGUACCUGUAAGGGAUGUGACUUACAUUGGGUAUAGAAAGUCAAAAACUUUCACCUUUCAAAACUUUUGUGGCCUUACAACCAGAAAUAAAAACCCAUAAAAUCA